UGUUGUGUGUGUGCAUCAAGUGCUGCUGCUGCUGCGGAUGCUGCUGCGCAGUAAAAGAAUGAUGGGAAAAUAAGAAAAUCUGAUAGCAAAGAGAAGAAGAAGAAGAGACAUUAAGAUUAACGGCUCAAGGGUCGAUCGAAGUGAGAAAGGUGCAAGAACGAAAGGGAAGGGGAGACUAUCUACCCUAUUUUCUCUCAGUGUAGAGCAAUCAGGACGACUUCUUGGAAAUCCACUUCCAAGACGGAUCUGUCUUCAAAAAGCAUCUCAAAGAAUGGAAUGGAGAGUAACUGAAAGGAAGAAUGACGAGGCAUGUGGUGCUGAUGGUGGUGCUAGUGGUGGUGGUGGUGCUGUCGUUGACAUUUGAUCUCUUUUAUGAGGUCUUCCUUGAGCGGGCUCAAGUGCAGCUUGCUUUUCUUUAUCUUAAUUUUUUGUUUUUUUUAAAUAUAUAUUUUUGGUUUGUGGCCCUAAAUCAACCCCUAAAGCCAAGGGAUUUUGACCCUAGUCCUUAAAUUGUUUUGUAAUUCAAUGACUGGAAGGAGUGCCAGCACUGUUAGGACUUCCAGGACUUCCAGAAGAUGCUCUUUUCAGGGCCUCUAUAAGAGAAUCAAUGUAAGAGAGAAAAUCAUUGUGUAACUGUAACAAUGAUCUCCAUAGUACUCUCUAAACAGUUACAGAUCAUUGUUUCAAUUAAAUUAAAAUUAAUAAAAAUUAAAUGCAAA